rnacentral:rRNA from 1 species
UACAGAGGUCUCAAGCGUUGUUCGGAAUCACUGGGCGUAAAGGGCGCGUAGGCGGCCCGCUAAGUCGAACGUGAAAUCCCCGAGCUCAACUCGGGAACUGCGUCCGAUACUGGCGGGCUUGAAUCCGGGAGAGGGAUGCGGAAUUCCAGGUGUAGCGGUGAAAUGCGUAGAUAUCUGGAGGAACACCGGUGGCGAAGGCGGCAUCCUGGACCGGCAUUGACGCUGAGGCGCGAAAGCUAGGGGAGCAAACGGG